GCAGAGAUGGCUCAUGCACAUGGAGCUCUUCUGAUGGUGGAUAAUAGUAUAAUGUCCCCUGUAUUAUCACAACCAUUGACACUUGGAGCAGAUAUUGUUAUGCAUUCAGCUACAAAAAUUAUUGCUGGACAUAGUGAUCUCAUGGCAGGUGUGCUUGCCGUGAAUGGGGAAAGUCAACAUGCUGGCCAAUGGCAAAGUCAUCUCUAGAUGUUCAAGUGUAUUCAGAACUAGCUCGUCUACCACCUGGGAGAAUGGGUCA